rnacentral:rRNA from 1 species
UACGUAGGGGGCGAGCGUUGUCCGGAUUUAUUGGGCGUAAAGAGCUCGUAGGCGGUUUGGCAAGUCGGGUGUGAAAACUCCGGGCUCAACUCGGAGACGCCACUCGAUACUGCUAUGACUCGAGUCCGGUAGGGGAGUGCGGAAUUCCUGGUGUAGCGGUGAAAUGCGCAGAUAUCAGGAGGAACACCGGUGGCGAAGGCGGCGCUCUGGGUCGGAACUGACGCUGAGGAGCGAAAGCGUGGGGAGCGAACAGG